AGGCCCAUUAUUGGUUUAAAUAGAAAUUUCAGUGAUUUCUAUAACAGUUCGAUUCUGUUUGAGUCUA
rnacentral:tRNA from 1 species